UUGGCGCCGUUGCCGGGGAUUGAAAAAUCACUUGUUUUUGUUUAUAAUUGUUGUAUAUAAACUGUUUGAUACUUAGUUUAAAUUAACUAGGUUGUUUUUUUUUUAUUGUUGAAUACGAGUUUAAUUGUGAGUUGUAAAUUAAAGAAGGAAUAGGUGAAGUCGUGUUUAUUAAUAUUGGCCUAAACCCCUUAUUGGUACCUAGUUCAGGUCCCUUAAGGUUGAGGGCGGCCUUUAUUAACAUUCAUUGAACUGUCUAACACACUUAGGACCUUUUACAUCCUAGUAAGAAUAUCCUAUGUGAGAUGGUGUCUAGGAAGGGGACAACGUUCAUGACGGGUUUUUGAAUCCAGAAGUGCUUAUAAAUGGGCUUAGCUCAUGCCAAAAUGGAUUUUUCCUCUCGUGUUCACCCUCCCCUACCUGGCCAUUUCAGUAAGGUUGCCCAACGGAUGUAGGAGGGACUUUGUGUCUAGACGACUAUACUUGGGCCGCACGUCCACUUGAUUUACCGCUUGGAAUUAGAUUUGAUAUCAAUAAUGUUUAUAACAAAAGAAAUACUUGUGCAUACUCUUUACGUGUAAAUUAUUUUGUUGUUUCACACUUUAUACUUGUAAAAAUACUUUUUACGUUUUAUACUCACUUGUGUACUUAACUUGUGUCUUAUGUACAAAAUACUUGUUAAUUAUACUUGUAGUUUGUAAUUCAUAGUUACUUGUUUAUUUUUUUUGUAUUUCUUUGUUAAUAUUAAGUUACUAACUUUAUUUAAUGUAGGUACCGUCUGGCUGCAAGACGUAAACUACAAGCGCUGCUUGGGAGGCAACCCAAUUCAGAAUAUAAUCAGAUUUGCUUUCUCUUCCCCUUUUACUCCUCCAUUUUCUUUUUGUUUUAGUAGUUAUUUUCGUAAAUUUCAUCCCUAUAUGCUUACUUAUUUCAUUGCAUGCUUUUAAUUGAUUACAUUGAGGAUAAUGCAAUAUUUAAGUGUGGGGGAAGGGAUUUAUAUUUUUGUCUUUCAUUUUGAAUCCUAUAAAUAUUUUUGUCUUUCAUUUUGAGUCCUAUAAAUAUUUUUGAGUCCUAUAUUUUAAAAAAAAAUAAUAAAAAAAAUAAAAAUAAAUAAAAUAAUAAUAAUAAAAAAAAAAAUUUGCAUUCAUUCAGUCUUAUUAAAUUCAGCUAUUUACAAAAAAAAAAAAUAAAAAUAAAUAAAUAAAUAAAUAAUAAUAAUAAUAAUAAUAAUAAUAAUAAUACUCUAUACUAAGCCAUGUCUGCAUCUCUGUAGGAGUUGAGGCUGAGCUCAAGGGAAAUGUGAGAGCCACCGCCAUAACCGCUACCUCUCUCGGAAGUAGUCUUCAUGAUGCCCAAGAUGUCCUCACCAUGCAUGGGGAACAAUGGAAGGGUUUCAAUCUCCUGGUGAUCUCCUCCUCGUUGUUGCAGGGAUGUUUGUCCUCCUGUUGUGCCAAAAGAGUUGUACUGGUAUUAGUGUUGAAGUGUGAGGAAGAAUAUGAAACAAAAUUUAAAUCAAGAAAUCCUUCAUUACCAGUAGAAUCGGUGGAACCAAAGUUGAGAUUAAUGGAUCUACCAUCAUCGGUAGAACUAGUGGACCCAAAAUUGAUGUCAAUGGAUCCACCAGCUGGCCCAAAAUUGAUGUCGAUGGAUCCACCAGCACCAGUAGAACCAGCUGGCCCAAAAUUGAGAUCAAUGGAUCCACCAGUACCAGGAGAACUAGUUCCCAUGGGCACUUGAGCAGCCUGAUUGCACCUCUUCAUCUGCUUCUCUCGAGCCCUGACAUUCUGGAACCAAAAAUAAAUGUUCUUGCCCUCAACAUGUCCAUACUGGUUCAGCUGGAGACAGAUCUCGUGAAUAUGCUCUGUAGUUGGGCACGUAACUCCCUUGUCGUAGUAAAGAUCCUUGAGGAUCCUUAUUUGAUCUGGAGUAGGAACCCACCUGGCACGGCUUCGCCAGAAAUCUGUGUUGGCACUACUCCCGGCUGCUUGGUUGUUUCCUCCAUCCUCGAUUUGUUGCUGGGUUUGUAGCUCCAUCAGUUGCAGAGUUCGUGGUUCCAUGGUGAUGGGUUGAGGGGAUGUGAAGAUCGAAGAGUAAAGUUGUCGAGUGUUUGAAGGAGUUGUUGUUAAAGGGAUUAAGGAUGAUGAUGGUGUGUUGGAGAUCUGAAAGUUCAGAGGAAAGAUGGGAUUGAAUCAACUAGAUGGGAGAGAAGAUCAGAAGAGAAGGAUUGAAUCGAAGAAGAAAUAUUUUGAGUUUUGAAAGAAGAGGAAAGCUGAAGAGUUGGGAGAGAGGGGCUGGAACUCAGGAGAGAUUUUCGUUCCUUUGGAGUGAACAGUUGCGCCCUCAGAAUGCACCUAUUUAUAGAGCGAGGUGAGCAGAUCUCCACCGUUGGAUGGACGAUUCCUGUGAUUCAUUCUACGCGUUGGAUUAAAGUCGCCCUGAAACCCGGAAAAGUUGUUGGCGCGUGGAGAGCGUGUAAGGGGACCGAAGGAAUCUCGAGGCGCUGUGGCAGACAGCUGUAGCCGAAAGCAGAUUUGACUGCCGUAAAUCACGGAAGGGAUAAGCCGUGACACAAGUGGGCCGUACUUGGGCCUGUCUCGGAUCAAGGCAUCACUGUAGCUGUGGGUGGAGGCCUGAUGGGCCGAGUUUCAGAAACAGUUUUGGACAUGAUGGGCCGAGUUUCUGAAACAGUUUUGGAUGAGUUGGGCUGGGUUUCUGCAACAGUCUUGGAUGUUUUGUGCCGAAUUGUUGAAACAGUUGAAACAGUUGGUUUAAAUAAAAGGAUUGGUAUGGAUAAUAACGUGAGCAGCCGUGCUCGAGUGGUUGAGUGUAAAGUUCGUGUACAAGAGGUCUGAGGUUCGAACCUCGCCUCUCGUUUAUUUUUAUUAUGUUCGUUUAUGACAUAAUAAGUAUAAAAUUUGUACACAAUAUAUUAAGCACAGCUUGUGCUCCAGUGGUUGGGGACAAAGGUUUCGUGGAGCAGGUUAAGGUUUCGAACCUUGCCUCCCCCGUUUUUUUUUAUUUAUGUCACUCCAUCAGAACCCUCCUCCGAAGGCUGAAACCAGCAAGAAGGCUGCCACUCGCCCGCAUACCGCUCCUCCAAAGGAGUAAAUGGAGGUACAAGUCUAGGCUGAAAGACUUUAAACAUUAAGCGCUGCAUGGGAGGCAACCCAUUUCAACCGUAGCUUUGGAGGAGCCAUCAACGCAGAUUUGCUCUCUUAAACUCUAUCUCCUCUAUUACUAUUUUCUGAUUGUAUCUUUGUUAUUUGCGUUUUUAGUUUUUGUUUUUAGGUUUUCUUGAGUUAAUCAUUCCAUUCACAUGAUAAUUGUUCAUUGCAUGCUCUAACUUGUUUAACAUUGAGGACAAUGUAUGAUUUAAGUGUGGGGGGAAGGAUUAAUGCUUGUAGUUAGUUUUUGUCAUAAAAAGAAAACAAAACAAAAAAAAUCGAAAAAUGUCAGAAAUAUAAAAAAUUUCGUUGCUUUUGUUUUUGUUUUGAGUCUUAGGAUGCCUUUCAACUGUCUGGGAUGAUUCUAUAUCUCUGAAAUCAUGACUAAAAGAGGAUCACAACAUUGAGAUGAUUUUAAACAUGGUAUUCUUUGGUUAAUUGAGAUAUAUGAAAAAUGUGUGCCUUGUAGUGGAUAUGGAUUGCAUGACCUUGGUACAGAAUAUGAGCAUGUUAAGAUGAGUUGUGAUUCAUAAAGCCAUGUGAGAUAAUUGAACCAUGUCCCUUUUUCUUGGAGUGAAAUGAAAAAUAUAUUCUUAAUUUCUUGGCGAUGUUUUGAUGAUCUCAUUAUUCUUUCAUCUUGAUUGACUGCUUGCCAUAGAUUAAGUUUAAUGGACUAGAGAAUGCUAGAAUUCGCUCUUGUGCUUGUUGAGACGUGAUAUCAAUACAUGGCCCUGAUUCUGGAAGGGAUAGAGGUUCUCUAGGAAUUACCACCAUUGCCAAAUAAACUUGUGUCCCCAUUUGUGCCCGUCGUGGGACCCCCCUAGAUAAGCCCAUUUGAGCCUACAUUAAGCCUUUUCGUUCAUCACCCUUAAAAUCCUUAACCAUGAAGCUUAGUAUAGUUACAACCCUACCCUUUGUUCUAAGGACUUAGUGGAGCUAUCUUUUGAGACAUACUACAUGGGUUUGGUGCUAAGGAUGAAGAUUGAGAAGAGGUGAAAGUUCAAGUGUGGGGAUAGACUUGUCCAUAAAGAAAAAGAUAUGUUGAAGCCGUGAAAAAUGAAAAGAAAAGAGAAAAAUUGUGUACGGCUAAAAAGAAAAAAAGAAAAAAAAAAUAUAUGUUUAUGGACUUUCAUCCCCCAUACUUAGUGAUUUUGGAGUUUGCUUUGAAUUGAAGGCCCACUACAGAAAAAUUUGGCCUUUGUCCAUUUCACUAGAGUUCAAGGGAAGUUUAUAUUGAAGAUUGGGCCCAACAUGAAGACAUUUGGCCCUCUUAUAUUACCUCUAUGGGGAAGUGACGUUUUUGCAAUGCCUUGGUGAAAUAUUUCGAGAUCUCUACAUCUGCAUGAGCUCUGCUAGGUUUUUAUGAUACUUUGACAUUCCAUACCUUUCAUUUCUGAAAACUUUGAGCCUUAGCCCCAUUACAACCCUUUGAGAAGACCUUCUUGAUCCUUAAGAUGGGACAGCCUUUGAUGUGGAAAUGAGUUACAAGAGUUGAACCUAUGGCUUGGGUCCAUUCGUGCAAGUAGUUGAUAUCCUUCAUGAGAUCUUUUGAAAAAAAUUAUAUUCACAAAGUGCUUUUCGUUUCUUAUAUAUGUGAGCUAUUUGACUGCCUUAAAAUAUGUUCUCUCACAUAUAAAUGAGUGAUUAUAAGCUUUUAAGCAUUGCCUUGAUCUGAGAGAAGAAAGAGUGGAUAUACCUUGUGAGGAUAUGAAUCAUACUUGUCUGAAGCAUGCUAAGCUAAACCCCAAUCAUCAUUAUUACAACCAAGUCCUACUUGUGUAUGUGUGGAUCAUAUGUUUUAAUUAACUCUCGAAUGCUUAACAUUGAUUCUUGAUUGAGUGCUAAUCUUGGUGUUGUGAAAGUAUGAGAUUUCUGAGACAAUAUGUUAAAGGGCAAUAGAGGUCUUUGUGAUGUCAACAUCUUGGUCUUUGUCUUUGAAUUUACUCUUUUAUGUGUGACAUUUUUUUUUUUUUUUCUUUCUUUGUGUUUUGCUUUGUGUUUUACGUUUUUGGUUUCUUUGAGUCUUUGUGUUUUUGUUUCCAUACUUAGUCAUUUUUUUUUCGUUGGUUUCUUUGUUUUGUGUCAUAGUCUUUUUGGUUUGUUAGUUUUUGAUUUUGCUAAGGGACUAGCAAAAGCUAAGUGUGGGGGAAUUUGAUAGGAGCAUUUUAAAGUGGUAUUUUAAUAGUUAAUUCCUCACAUUUUGCUUAGUUAAUUCCUUAACGAAUCGAUUUUUAACUCAAUUUCUAUUUUCUUAGGUACAUUGGAGUAAAUGAUGGUGAAAUGAGCAUUAGGUCCACACUUACCUAUAAAUGGUGGAGAAAAAUGGAAAUGUACUAAAAUGUCAAUUUUACACAUUUUCCUACUCCGGCUAGGAAAAACCAAGCCAAGCAAGGAAGAAGGAGCGGCCGCCGGACCAAAUGAACUUCAAAUGAGCUGAAACUUUCCAGAUCCAUUCUACACAUCCUAAGGAUCGUUUCUUAUGAAGAGUGCCAGAGCUAGAAUUGAGCGGAAGGCCUUCAAACGGUCAGCCCAAUUUCCUGCAGAAGCAAAACUGGAAAACUGGACCUGUAAGAGGUCCAGCAGCAUUUUCGGCCCAACCACAUGGAAUAAAAAUCUGAAAUUUUACCAGGGUGAUCUACACUCAUAAUGGAACAUUUUUUAUGAAGAGGUCAUAGUGAAAUUGGGAAUGCUUGUUGGAGAAAUAAUUGAAGGAAUAAAGGGGCAGAAACUGAUCUAAAAACAGCUCAACACCACAUGUUCAAGUUUCCUACCCACAUGAAGAAAGCUAGAUGCUUUUCUCUUUUUCCUUGGAUAUAUUUUUCUGCUCCAAUAGAUCAUCAUCACUUCCAUACUUCUACACCUUCAUGCCUUGCUUUCAUUUCAUCAUUACUCCAUCUUUUCCAUAUUUUACAAACCACUUUCAUUAUUUUUCUUCCAUUUAUCAUUUCACUCUUCUUUUUCUUCCCUAUAUAAACACCUUCUCCUCUCACUCUAAAGACAAUUCCUUCAUCCAUUUCAUCUUCUUUGUCUCUCCAUUUCCAUUCCAUUUUUCUCUCCAUUCUCUAGUUGCAAAAUUCUGCGUUUUCAAGUAAGAAGAAGAAGAAGAAGAAGGAGCCGGGAAUAUCAUAUCCUCCAUCGUCCACCUUGAAGGCUUGCUUCCAAGAUUCAAGAUUUCAACGUUUCAAGCACUCCAUCUCCAUCUCCAACUCACGGUGUGUACCCUCAAUCCCCGGAAUAGAACGAUCCCUAUUUGCUUAUACUACUAACGAUGUUUUCAGGAUUAAAUUAUGCGCUUGCUUUGAGCGUAUCAUGAGUGGUUUAAGUAUUUCAGACAACGGGCAUAAAAAAAGAUGUUUCAUCAGAUGGUUUGGUUAG